CAUAUAUCCAAACUUAAAAAGUUUUUAAAAACUUGUAUUUUGGGUGCUUAAUUGCCAAAAUUUCAGACUAGUGGUUCUUAACCUACUGGUGGGGCUUUACUGUAUAUCAAAUAACUUAUGCAUAAUGAAGUCUCAAGGCUUGAUGCCUGCGAGAAAUACUGGUCUUAAUAGUCAUGACCUGGGACAAUUUCGAUAGUGGCCAUUUGCAAUUGUUUCAUUUUCCUGGGCGAUGACUACUAUUAAAUCGAGCAGUAUGAUGCCCACAUUGGAACACACAAUUGUAUAUAAUAAUGCUCACAAUUUCUUUCUUAUUUAUAUAUAUAGUCAUUACAAAUAAUGGUCAUCUGAAGCUGAUGUAUUAAACAAAAAUGUCAACAAAAUAGAUUUUGUCUCCCGAUUGGCAGAUUCAUUGUUCAGUUGUUCUACAGUAGGGGUAGCCUUGAAGGUGCCACUAAAAUGAUACAGUAGUUGGGACAAAACUGACUUCAAAGGGCCUGUUCAUAUGGGCAAAAGUUAUCUCGGUUUAAGGCCCUGUUCACAUGAUCCCGGGAUAAACAACUGCCCCGCGACAAGUCAUUGACCCAGGGUACUGAUAUCUUCUGUUCACAUGAAUAAAGCUAGCGCGCCGGGUCAUGCCUAUAAAUACAUUACGCGGUAAUCAUAAAAUAUUCCUGCCAACGGGAAAUGGUGAAAUAUUGCUAAAUAAAAAACAUUCUGAUAAAUGCAAGUUGUCGUUAUUUCUUGUUAUGAUAUUUACAAAUAGAACGUACUAGUUGAUUAUCAGCCGUAAUAAAAUGUGCUCAAUUCAUUGUUUCUGGUUGACCAGAUCAAAUUCUUUGAGUAACAUACUACAUGAUAUUAGCGACAAUUUUAUUUCAAUAUUUUUAGAAUCAUCACUUAUAGAUUUCUAAUGAUAUCGUCAAUCAAAUAACAAGUUUUUGUGGAGUCCAACGUGCUCUAAAUGUAAUUUUAGCCACGAUUUUGAUCGUUUCACCAAAAUUCAAUUAUUCCGGGACAGUGUUCACAUGAGGAAAAGUUGUCCCAGCAAGGCGAGUGUCCCUGUCUAUAGAAGUGAGGCACUCGGGUCAAUUCUUGUCCCAGGACAAGUAAAAUAUCAUGUGAACAGCACUAUUCUUUUACUGAGGAGCCAAGACAAUUUUUGUCCCGCGACAAUUGCUUGCCCCGAGACAUAACGCUGUCCCGGGUUCAUGUGAACAGGGCCUAAGGAGAAAACUUUUCGACUAGCCAAAUACUUUUGUUCUGUUCACAUGGAGAAACUUUACCUCGCUUACCGGGUAAAGUUUCCGGCUGUGACGUAGCGCUGAACAUGAAUUGAAUUGAAAAGUUGCUGACACAACAGAAAGUUAUCCCGCUAAGCGGGAAAGUUGUGUUCAUAUGGGAAAAACACCGAGGUCUCGGUACACGGAAAAAGUUGUUGUCUCAUAUGAACGCAAUGUAACUUUUCAUAUUAUUUUCAUACCAAGGUGAGAUCUCGCUUGAAACUUCUUGAAAAGUUUUCUCGCUAACACAGAUAACUUUUGCCCAUAUGAACAGGCCCUUACUGGUAGUAUUUUUAUGUAUGAAAUUUUAAUUAAAUUCUACAUAUCCAAUGAUUCAUUCAAGUAUUAUUAUUGUUUGUUAUACAUGUUAUUGUACAGUAUUCAGUGGCAAGCUAGCCAUGACAACUGGUCAAGCUAAAAUUGCCAAUAAACCUGCAUCUAUCUGAAUAAUGCAAAUCAUUAAAAAUGUGCAUAGCAUGAUCUGUAGACUUUCACAAAGUCCUUCCUCUUUUUAGAACGAAGGAAUUUUCAAGGAAGUAAUUUCUUGAAGAGUAAGGAAUUUGUGGAAGUCAAUAGGAUUUAAUAGAAUCAUAGAGAUUAUAAAUAACACUAGAGGAGGCAUCGCAAUCUUGACAUUAGGCAAAAAAGGAAUCCUGCUAUUGGGGGCAAAUUCCUGCAUGUGUACUUGUGUUCCCAUUGGUGAGAGCAUGAUUUUAUAUCCGGGACCUACAUUUGCCCCCCCCCCCCUAGACGUGUUCCCAAAUUUUUAACCUCAAUGCCUCUUCUAGUGUUAUUUAUAAUCUUUAUGAUUAGAAUAUCUAGCCGACCUUCGACUUUGUGCAAGCUGUUUUCGUAUUCAAACUGCACUUUUCCUACCUUCUGGUGUCUUAGGGGUGUCUUAGGGGUGCCUUACGUGCUUGUGUGAUGGAAGACGGGUUGAGGCAGCAUUUUCCUUGCGAUAGUAACUUCUAGUUUU